rnacentral:rRNA from 1 species
UGAGUAAUGUCUGGGAAACUGCCUGAUGGAGGGGGAUAACUACUGGAAACGGUAGCUAAUACCGCAUAACGUCGCAAGACCAAAGAGGGGGACCUUCGGGCCUCUUGCCAUCAGAUGUGCCCAGAUGGGAUUAGCUAGUAGGUGGGGUAAGGGCCAACCCUAGGCGACGAUCCCUAGCUGGUCUGAGAGGAUGACCAGCCACACUGGAACUGAGACACGGUCCAGACUCCUACGGGAGGCAGCAGUGGGGAAUAUUGCACAACGGGCGCAAGCCUGAUGCAGCCAUGCCGCGUGUGCGAAGAAGGCCUUCGGGUUGUAAAGCACUUUCAGCGAGGAGGAAGGUGGUGAGCUUAAUACGCUCAUCAAUUGACGUUACUCGCAGAAGAAGCACCGGCUAACUCCGUGCCAGCAGCCGCGGUAAUACGGAGGGUGCAAGCGUUAAUCGGAAUUACUGGGCGUAAAGCGCACGCAGGCGGUUUGUUAAGUCAGAUGUGAAAUCCCCGGG